AAAAAACCCUACGUUCUCAACCAUAGUACGAACUCACCUUUUUCUUUCCCAAAAUUCAUAAACUAUCUUCUUUCCCAACGACUUAAUUUGAACCACCUUCAUUGUUCUCUCCAUCGAGCUCAAAAACCUUCUUCUCUCCAUAAAACCAAAAUUCCAUUCACCAAAGCAAAAACCCUAAAACAAAAAUCAAUUGAAAUUGGAACGCAAAAGUCCCAAAUAUCCCAUAAAACCCUAAAGUUGAUUGAACCCAUAACUCGAGAAUCAAUUGAAACCAUAAAACCACUUUCACUCAUCUUUUUGUUAAUUCUGAAGUGA